CAAAUUUCAUAUUAUGGAUUUACAAAGUUAUUAACUCAAGUUACUGCGACACAUAUAAACAAGAGGCUGUCACAACGACAGCAAACCGGAUUUAUUAAUAUUUAUUUGUGCCCUGGCAAUAUCACAAGAACCAUUACUGAUGAAUGGUGAAAGUGAAAAUCGUCAAUAUCAAAUUUGACCUCCAUUUUGUCAUCAGUAUCAACAUCUUAAAAUUUGAAAAGCUUAGAUUGAAUGGUUCAUGAGUAAAUGCAACAACGUGAAUGGAAACGCCAUUUCACAAUCUUUCAAGAACCAUAACUCCUGAACAGUAAAAGUCAAAAUCGUCAUAAUUGAACUUGACUUUUAAUUUGCCAUCAGUAACAACAUAUAAAUAUUUCAAAAGCUUUGGUUGAAUGGUUCAUGAGAAAAUGCACGGACACGACUGGAAACACCAUUUUUCAAUCUUUCAAGAAC
rnacentral:lncRNA from 1 species